rfam:Macrostomum lignano uti_cns_0000233, whole genome shotgun sequence.
AAAACGGCCCUUUUAAGGGCCACAGUGCCAAUACAUGUAUAAUUAC